AGAUAGCGCUUCUACACAUGCCGCUUCUGGAUUGAGGAGGAGGAAUUGUCAUGAGCCUGGCUUCAGUCGACGACCACCAGCGACUAUGAAACUGUAGAAGAUGUGUUGAAGGACAGAAAUGAUGGCAAUUCUGAGGGCAAAGAUGUGGUCGAAUGGAGGAUAGAACAGAUGGGAAAUGGGUCUGUUGAAGCUGUGACGCAAACAAAUCGCAGAUUGGAGGAACCAGAUCACUGAUUGAUGGGACCAAAGAGACGAACGAUGGAACCAGAUGGCAUCAAUAGGAGGGGAGAGAUAACAAUCAUGCAAGUAAGAGAAGGUGACCCAAGGAAAAAAUCUUGGGCGGAAAUGGUGAGCAAUCGAUCUAAGAAAUCAUACUACGAAAUGAGUUGGUAAUGAGGACGGGAGCCUUUUGUCACCAUUCGAGAGGAAACCAACCGUGAAGCGUUCAAAAGUAGUACUUGGUGUCUAUAAAACUUUUAAUUUUUUACAAAAAUAUUCUGUUGAGAUGAUCGUUUACUCAUUGUACAAUGUGUUGCUCACUACUCAUGUAUAUGUAUGCCUUUGUCUUGUCAUGCGGAAGAAAUCACCCGGUCCUAAUUGAUUGCAAGUGUAACAGGACGAUUAAAAUUAACUUAAAUAAUUUUUAAAGUUAUUUAAGAAAUUUUAAGUUAAUCUCUUUAUGUAGGAAUGUUACAACUCCAAUUUCUUUUACUCAAAUUUGUGAUGUCUUUAUUAUAAUUCUAUUAUAUUGAAUUGGAUAUAAUUAUUAAAAUAGAACUCGUCAAAUAUUGCAAUUCACUAGUGUUUAA